UCUAUAUAACUUAUUUUUACUAUACAUGCAUACAUUUCUAAAGGGUACGUUUAUGAUUUGACUUUUGCCUUUUUAGCAGCAUUUGUAACUUACCUUAACAGCAUUUGUGACCAAUGCCACUUGCGACGUAACUGCAUAACAUGCCAACACAUCAUAGACGGUACUGCUACAUUUAAUUUUACUAACACUGACAAAAACUACUACAUAAAACAAAGACUGGAUUGCAACUCUAAUAACGUUAUUUACGCAUUACAAUGCAAAAGAUGUUUAACAUACUAACGAAAACAAGAACUGCCAAUACAUCGGACAAACAAGCAGACGACUGAAAGACAGAUUUAACGAACAUAGACGAGACAUUAUCAACAAAAAAGUAGACAAGUCCGGUGUUGCAGAACACUUUUGCAGCCCAGAACAUACCAUCAAUGACCUUACAAUAACCCUAUUAUUGCAACAAAAAGCCAAAUAGAGAGUGUUCGAGCCAAAGAGCAAUACCUCAUUGGCUUGGCAAACACUCUCACACCGAACGGCAUGAACCGAACCACUGACCGUUAAUCUUACAGCAACACACUAUAAUCAUCCAUAUCGUCACUUUUUCUACUACCCAUACAUUACUAUUUUACAAUCAUCACCAUUACUCUCUACAUUCUCGUUAUAAUUUUCUUUUUUCCGUUUAUUUAAUUUUUCAUCUUUUACUACCAUUGUCGAAUCGAGACGCAGUGGCUGGGUGGUUGAAGGACUAUAGAUUCUGUGAGGCAUCAAAUUUUUGGAAAACUUUCUGAAAUGUGCAUGGAAAUUGAAAUAAAUUGUACCACCAUCCCCAUCCCUUAGCUUGUUAAUUGGUCUUUAAUAGUCUUGAAUUAAAAAAUCCUGCUUUACACAUCAAAACAUAUAUAGAAAUAUGAAUAUGUGAAAUGAACCUUCUUUCAAUAAGUAAUAAUUGCUGCAAAUUAGAUGAAUAUUUGAUGAAAUGUCAUUAAUUGAUAGCACACUGAUUUCAAAAGAGGGAUUGAGUUGUUCCAGCUACUCCAUUGGAUCCAUACACAAUCUUCUUCGUCGCACCAGCAAUGGAAUUGGAUUGUAUUCAUCAGUGAUUAUCAGCAUCAUGUGAGAAUCUGUGGGCAGACUCGCCUUGGAAGAGAAUGUGACGAAGGUGAACAAAACAUGGGUUGUGCUUUGCGUUUGAUGAGACAAAAAGCUAUAAAUUUAAAGUAGGACAUCGCUGUUGGAUCUAGAGGCAUGUUACUUUGCAAUCAAUAAUUCAUGAUCAAUACAAUCGAAAGCUUUCAAUGGGUAAACCAACAGAGCACCGGCAUAUCUUCAAUGGUAUCCUACAGCUAACUACAAACUGCAUAAGAUCACAUUGGGUACUAGACCAUACCUUGCUCAUACCUCUAGAUUCUAUGAUCGAGCAAAAUAUUUUCGAUAUAGAAACCUUUAACCAGUCUGAACGUCCAACUAAAUUCUUCCCAACAGGCUACAUGUCCAACCAUAAAAUUUCGUUAAGAAUUUCCUCAGGUCUUCGGGACCGCGAAUUCAAAUGACUAAUUAAAUAUUGGGAAACCCUAUUCUAAUAUUGAAUAUAAGAACAUCUAUAUAACUUAUUUUUACCAUACGUGCAUACAUUUCUAAAGGGUACGUUUGUGAUUUGACUUUUGUCUUUUUAACAGCAUUUGUAACUCAUAGCUUUAAUUUUUCAUGCUAAGAUACUCCUUUGAUUUGAAAGAAAGGUUGUAAAAAUAUUUUGGUAAGUUUCCCAGUAGUAAAGAUUUCCGAAGAAAACUCUGUCGAAUCAAGACGCAGUGGCUGGGUUGUUGGAGGACUAAAGAUUCUGUGAGGCAUCAAAUUUUUGGAAAGCUUUCUGAAAUGUGCAUGGAAAUUGAAAUAAAUUGUACCACCAUCCCCAUCCCUUAGCUUGUCAAUUGGUCUUUAAUGGUCUUGAAUUAAAAAAUCCUGCUAUACACAUCAAAGCCUGUAUAGAAAUAUGAAUAUGUAAAUUGAACCUUCUGAUGAAUAUAUAUGAAUAUGUAAAUUGCUGCAAAUUAGAUGAAUAUAUAAUGAGAAAUCAUUAAUUAAUAGCACAAGGAUUUCGAAACAGCGAUUGAUUUGCUCCAGCUACUUCAUUGGAUCCAUACACAAUUUUCUUCGUCGCACCAGCAAUGGAAUUGGAUUGUAUUCAUCAGUGAUUCUCAGAAUCUGUGGGCAGACUCGCCUUGGAAGAGAAUGUGACGAAGCUGAACAAAACAUGGGUUGUGCUUUGCGUUUGAUAUUUCUGCUGCUCCUUUGGUUGCAUGUGAGCCUGGGGUACAUAUUGAGGCUGCCUUGCAAGACGUAUGGAAACUUCAGCGUUGAAAAAUCAGGCUUUAUGCUUGAUGGACAUGUGUUAGCAUCAUUGGAAGUAUCGACUGUCGAAUUAUGCGAACAGCAUUGCUUGUAUCAUCAAAGCUGCAGCUCAAUUAACUGGAAGACACCAGCAUCUGGGUCUGCUAAUUGCCAGAUCAAUGAAAAAUCAACAGAAAACUCGGAUGACAACGUAAGGUUAUCUCCUUCAUCUGAAUGGACCUACAAAACAACAGAUUAUAGAAACAGAAACGUGGGUGAAUUGUGUCGAGGCAGGAAUCCUUGCCCUAUCGGACAUAGGUGUACAGAUUCCUGCAGCUGUCCAGGAUUCCAAUGCCAACACGUAACAACAGACCAGAAAAGGCUUCAAUCGAACAAACAUAAUAAUUUCCUGUUCGUUUAACAAAAGCAAGAAGUUGCAAGGAUCUUUACGCACUUGGCUUCAGAAAAAGUACGAGAUAUGACAUCUAUCGACCAGAAAUUGGAAUUUUCCCAGUCAGAUGCGACAUGGCAACCGACGGAGGAGGUUGGAUUGUGUUCCAGCGUCGUGUUGAUGCCAGUGUGGAUUUCUUUCGAGAUUGGGAUGCCUACAAGCAAGGCUUUGGGGAUAUGGACGGAAACUUCUGGUUGGGGCUUGAAAAACUGCACAAGCUAGCCGCUCCAGGAAAGGGGGCCAUUCUUCGGGUUGACUUAAAGCACAUGGAUUUUGCAGACAAAAAGUAUGCAAAGUACAGCUUAUUUGAGAUUUCAGGAGAAUCGGAUGGGUAUCGUCUGAAGGUGGGAGGCUACUCUGGAGAUGCUGGUGAUUCUCUGAUUUACCAUAACGACAUGAAGUUUUCAACAAAGGACAAGGAUCAUGAUAAUCUACAUAAUGGCAAUUGUGCACUAGCACAUGCUGGUGCUUGGUGGAGACAAAAAGCUAUACAUUUAAAGUAGGACAUCGCUGUUGGAUCUAGAGGCAUGUUACUUUGCAAUCAAUAAUUCAUGAUCAAUACAAUCGAAAGCUUUCAAUGGAUAAACCAACAGAGCACCGGCAUAUCUUCAAUGGUAUCCUACAGCUAACUACAAACCGCAUGAGAUCACAUUAGCACAAGGAUUUCAAAACAGCGAUUGAUUUGUUCCCGCUACUUCAUUGGAUCCAUACACAAUCUUCUUCGUCGCACCAGCAAUGGAAUUGGAUUGUAUUCAUCAAUGAUUCUCAGCAUCAUGAAGAAGUGGGCAGACUCGCCUUGGAAGAGAAUGUGACGAAGGUGAACAAAACAUGGGUUGUGCUUUGCGUUUGAUAUUUCUGCUGCUCCUUUGGUUGCAUGUGAGCCUGGGGUACAUAUUGAGGCUGCCUUGCAAGACGUAUGGAAACUUCAGCGUUGAAAAAUCAGGCUUUAUGCUUGAUGGACAUGUGUUAGCAUCAUUGGAAGUAUCGACUGUCGAAUUAUGCGAACAGCAUUGCUUGUAUCAUCAAAGCUGCAGCUCAAUUAACUGGAAGACACCAGCAUCUGGGUCUGCUAAUUGCCAGAUCAAUGAAAAAUCAACAGAAAACUCGGAUGACAACGUAAGGUUAUCUCCUUCAUCUGAAUGGACCUACAAAACAACAGAUUAUAGAAACAGAAACGUGGGUGAAUUGUGUCGAGGCAGGAAUCCUUGCCCUAUCGGACAUAGGUGUACAGAUUCCUGCAGCUGUCCAGGAUUCCAAUGCCAACACGUAACAACAGACCAGAAAAGGCUUCAAUCGAACAAACAUAAUAAUUUCCUGUUCGUUUAACAAAAGCAAGAAGUUGCAAGGAUCUUUACGCACUUGGCUUCAGAAAAAGUACGAGAUAUGACAUCUAUCGACCAGAAAUUGGAAUUUUCCCAGUCAGAUG